UCGUCAGAGUGGAGGCUGCAUCUGGCUGCAUCUGGCACCAAUCUUUGCUGUCUGGACUAAAUGAAAAUGCUGGUCAUCUUUGGAAUCUUGGUGAUGUUCACAGAAGCUGGAGUGGGUUUGUUGUCCAUAAACCCUGUUUGUAGAUUUACUCAGAGUGAUCCAUGUUAUGGAGCUGUGGGACGACCGCUGUACCUGCAGCUGCCAUCUGAGGAUGAAUUACGCUUAAAGAAGAACAUCAAUGGAGUUCCUACUGAGCGUAUUUUCAGAUUUAUAAACCAUAACAUCACAUUAAACCAUUCAGUUUAUCCAAGAUGGCAGUUUGUUACUGAUAACAGAUCCAUGAUAAUCAGCAGUGCAGAGAAAAGAAACUCAGGAAGAUACACUUUAGAAACAUAUGAUUCUGCAGGGAAUAACAGAGGCGUUUAUCAUCUCCAGCUGGUUAUUGAAGCUGUGGUGUCCUCAGUGACUGUGACAGACAGCUGCUUAUCAAUUGAGAAGAGGAACGUUUACUGUUCGUCUGAUGGAGAUAAUGUGCAAUACAGCUGGACUUUCCAACAUACACACCAACUGGCUGAUGUGAACCAGACUCUUCUGCUGGACAAGGAAGUUCAUGGAAGUGUCACCUGCUAUGCUCAGAAUCAUGUUAGCCAUGGGAAAAAAACUAUUGAGAUACAGCAGUGUCCUGAUCCUACAACUGUGACCCCCAUUUCAACUCUGAAGCCUAAAGUGACACCAAGGACACAAUCAGGUAGUGGUACAAGUCUGGCAGUGACUGAUUGCUCCUCUAACCCUCAAGUGCCUCUCAGUUUUCAGAAUAAGAGAAUAGCUUGA
ensembl:lncRNA